AUUGAACGCUGGCGGCAGGCUUAACACAUGCAAGUCGAGCGGGGACUUCGGUCCUAGCGGCGAACGGGUGAGGAAUGCUUGGGAAUCUGCCCAGUAGCGGGGGAUAACGUUUCGAAAGGAACGCUAAUACCGCAUACGCCCUACGGGGGAAAGGGGGGGAUCUUCGGACCUCUCACUAUUGGAUGAGCCCAAGUCGGAUUAGCUAGUUGGUGGGGUAAAGGCCUACCAAGGCGACGAUCCGUAGCUGGUCUGAGAGGAUGAUCAGCCACACUGGAACUGAGACACGGUCCAGACUCCUACGGGAGGCAGCAGUGGGGAAUAUUGGACAAUGGGCGAAAGCCUGAUCCAGCCAUGCCGCGUGUGUGAAGAAGGCCUUCGGGUUGUAAAGCACUUUAAGCGAGGAGGAAUGGCUCUUGGUUAAUAACCUUGAGCAGUGACGUUACUCGCAGAAUAAGCACCGGCUAACUCUGUGCCAGCCGCCGCAGUAACAC
rnacentral:rRNA from 1 species